CCCUGACUUAAUGAUGGUUCGACUUAUGAGCUUUCAACUUUACAAUGAUGUGCUAGCAAUACAUUUUCAGUAGAAACCAUUCUUCGAAUUUUGAAUUUCAAUCUGUUCCCUGGCUGGCGAUAUGCGGUACAAUACUCUCACUCAGUGGUGGGCAGCAGCUGCCAGCUAUAGCUCCCAGACAGCCACGUGAUCACAAGGGUAAACUUUGCAGUGUACUGUGUUGCCAAUACUUUUGGAUUUUGUGUUUUGUGUUUUUGCAUCCCAUCAUGUCUACAAAACGUCCAUCUGUGUCUCCUGCUUCUGGGGAAAAGAAGAGGAGGAAGGCAAUUACUCUUGAGAUGAAACUCAAAAUAAUUGCUCAGCAUGAAGGUGGCAAGCCAGUAAUGGUCAUUGCACGGGAGUCAGGACUGUCACAGUCCACGAUCUCAACCAUCUUAAAGGAUAAGAAACGAAUCAGCGAUGCAGUGAAAUCGUCAGCAUCAGUUAAGUCCACUGUCAUUACAAAGAAAAGAGCCGGGCCAAUUGAUGAUAUGGAAAAAUUACUUGUUGAGUGGAUAGAUGAGCAGGUACGAAAGCGUGCACCACUUAGUCUCCUGAUGAUCCAGGCUAAGGCAAGAAGUCUUUUCAAUAUGCUGAAAGAACAUGCUGAUCCUACAUAUACACAGAUGUUUACUGCAAGUCAUGGGUGGUUCCAGCGCUUCAAAAGGCGUCAUAAUUUUCACACUGUGAAGGUCAGUGGUGAGGCAGCAAGUGCCGAUAUUGAAUGUGCUGAAGCUUUUAAGGAAGAGCUGCAUAGGAUAAUUGUGGAUCAGAAAUAUUUACCAGAACAGAUAUUUAAUGUUGAUGAAACAAGCUUGUUCUGGAAGCGUCUGCCUGAGCAUACAUACGUUCCUCAGGAGUACAAGACAAUACCAGGAUUCAGAGACCAUGUAACUGUGCUUUUGGGUGGAAAUGUUUCAGGAUUCAAAUUAAAGCCUUUUCUCAUCUACCAUUCAGAGAACCCUAGAGCAUUUAAGAAUGUGAGCAAGCAUACACUUCCUGUUUAUUAUCGCCAUAAUAAGAAAGCCUGGAUGACUUCAGUGUUGUUUGAAGACUGGUUUUUGAACUGUUUUAUUCCACAGGCAAGAGAAUAUUGUAGGCAAAACAAUAUCCCAUUCAGGAUUCUUCUGAUCUUAGAUGACGCUCCAGGGCAUCCACAACAUAUUGGAGCCAUGCAUCCUGAUGUAAAGGUGGUUUAUUUGCCACUCAACACAACCACACUCAUUCAACCAAUGGACCAAGGUGCAAUAGCUGCCUUCAAAGCACACUAUUUACGCCAGACGUUUGCUCAGGCUGUUGAAGCAACUGAAUCUGGCCAAACACUCCAGGAAUUUUGGAAAGGUUUUAACAUUCUAAAUGCUAUCCAGAACAUUGCUGCAGCAUGGGAAGAAGUCACACAACAGUGCAUGAACUGCAUUUGGAAGAAAGUUUUGAAGACAUAUGUGAACACAUUCAAAGGUUUUAACAAAGGCCCUGCUGUUGAUGAUAUGGUAAGUAACAACAUAUUAACUCUUGGGAAGCAAUUAAAAUUAGACAUCCAUGAAGACGAUAUUCAUGAAAUUGUCAGCAUUAAAACUGAAGAGAUUUCCAAUGAGGAGCUGAUUGAACCAGAGAAGGAAAGAAGUAAAGAAGUUAAAGCAGAGGAAGAAAUUAUAUGGAAGGCACCAAGAAAGUUCACAGCAAAGAAACUGGCAGAGGCAUUUGCUACUAUCAGCAGCGGUAUGCGGAUGUUAGAAGAAAUGGACAGCAAUUACGAGAGAUACGCAAGAGCUGACAGGCAGAUUCAAGAUGCUCUUGCUUGCUAUAGAGAAAUAUAUAAUGAAGAAAAGAAACUGACUGUACAGUCAAAACUUGAUAUCUUUCUGAAAAACACUAUGCCUGCUAAACCGUCAACAAGUGUCAAUGCCUCAGUGCCUUCCACCAGUUAUUCUCAAGUCUCGUCAGAAGAGAGAGGAGUCAGUACUCUUGUUGCUGUAGCAUCCACAUCAUCCAGCAGUUAAUUUUAGUUCAAUGCAUCAAACAUUCUUCAGGGCCAGUGUGUUUUCAUCUUUGUACAUUAAUGGUUGCACUGCUGUGAUCAUCACCUCCCAAGGAUGCAUCCUGACUUAUCUUCGCACUUGCACACUGAAGAAUGCAACAUCUUGAUUAACUUGCUUAAGGAAUGUCACAAAAAUUACAUGGAAAAGAGGACCAGGAGCAGGGAGCAUGGCAAUGCAAUGCGAAAAAGACUUUUCAGUCCUCUGGAGGAAUCAGAAAAA